UCGGUUCUCUGCGUAGGCACAAACAUUCCUGAGCAAAGUGGGAAAAGAAAGCCUGCUGAUAAAGCUUGGCAAGACCAGGCACUGUGGCAGAUAGCUGAGGAUGAACUUAAAAUGCCCGACAAAGCACCUCCAGCAGCAGCCUCCAGAUUGAAAAAGGACUUGCUUUCUCAAAUUACAUGCUUCGCCACCUCCAAGCAAAAGCACAGUGGAGAUGAAAGCAACAGAGCUCAAACCCCCAUGGACUGUGUUUCAGUGACAGCAGAGAGAUGUCUCUGCAGUCAGGACAUCCAAGGGUCCACGGGAGAACACUGUUCCUUGCACAGCUGACUGGAAAGCUGAAGCUUGCUCCUGUAAUGUGUUCGUACUUUAAAAGUGUAUUUUAGAUAAGCAGAAACAAUGUAAGGUUGGAUAGUGUGAGCAGCUUAACACUUCCCAGUGACUCUGAAGGUCCAAGGAAAAAUGUAUUCUAUUACCUGUAAGUAACAGCUGGAAAAACUACUUGGGACUUAGAAAACUGCAAAUGAGCCACCUCUUAACAAGCACCCUUUCCUGCCACUAGCAUCAGUACAAAUAAUUCGGAGUGGAGGUUGUUUUGUUGUGGUUUUAGUUAGAAUCUCCUGUAAUUUUGAGGAGCCAUUCAAAAUAAAGGCAAGGAUGCAACCUUAAGUCCCAUUUAACAAGAGCUGACUGAACUGCAACUCCUCUCUUGUCUGACACAUUCUGUAAUAGUACUAAAACACUCUAACUGUGAUCAGAGCACCACAAGGGUACUUGCUCUGAGGAGCUUAUAACCUAAAGAUAUAUGAGACAGUAUGAGGAUGUGUGAAGACUGACGUGGCAUUAUCUGUCAGGAAACCUGAUUACUGAAUUUGUAUUUUCUGCCCAUGUCUAUGUAGGAAGUUAUCAGCCAUUCGACCCUCGAGUAUUUAUCUGCCAUAUAGUCUGAUAGGAAAAACAGCUUCUACAGCUUUUGGCUUGAAACCUUUACAAAAACAUAACUGAGUUUUGGUUUGCUUUGGUUUUGAGAUGAAGUGGUGGUUGAGAAAAGCUGAAGGAAAUCUGUCACUUUGCCUCCCCCAUGAUUUAACUGGGAGUUCAUGGCUGUGCAGCUGUGGCUUGGUUGGGUUUUGACAGUGACCUGAUGUACAGUUGUCACACCAGUUUGAGUACCCAUGGAUGAUCAUAACAGCAUCCCUUUUUGCCUUUCCAUGGUUUUUCAGAUUUUUGAUGCUGAAUGAUUAAUCACUGAGCAUUUACCAUUCUUUAUCAUCCCUGAGACACUUUAGAGCAUGUCAUACCUAAUUGCUGGCUGAUCUCUGGGCUCACUGGUUUGUUGCAUGGAAAGCUCAGAGGACAGUAGUAAAACAACAACAAAGACUUAAAGAUUCAGACCCAGUUCUUUCUGCAGAUUUGCUAUUCCUUUCAUUUACUACAAGUAAUGCAAAAGAAGGUUUCCCUCUUUUCCUUUCCAUUUUUCUUUCCUUUUUUUCCCCACACUCUCAAAUGUUAAAGGAAACCAUCAUCAUUAGCAUCUUCAUGAUGAAAAUCACAGCAUCUCUGCACAGACAAGGUUAAAAAUGGAGAAACUAUUACCAAGCCCAAGUUUCUGUCUGGGUUUCAUGGAGGGGAACUGUUCAUCAGGCCACCCACGCUGCACAGUGUAGAACAUUACACAUAAUCAUACAGUGCCAGCUCUUUCCUUUAUUUUCUAAAUACUGUCUUUUUGCUUCUGGCUUUGCUAUUGCUGGGUGCUAAUCUGUCUUUUUAUCUCCAAGGAAGGUCAAGUUACACGGCAGCCCAUAUAGCCUGGUUCCUGCUGAGAUAAAGAGGAAGGCAGAAAUGUUAAAACAAUAAUGGCUAUGGUCUGAGGCCUGCAACUGGUAAUCAGCUCCUAUCUUGGCAGAGGUUGUUUCCUUGAAGGUUAUUUGAAGAAAAUAGGCUUGGUUUGCAGGAAGAUACCUCUUUUUCCCCCCAGGCAAACACAGUGGUGCUUUUCAUCCAUGUAGCCACCUUUGCAACACUGAGAUUUUUCUUUCAGUCUCUGCUCAAUGAAGAACAACCUCUAUCAGCUUCCCACUGGUCCAGCUUUUAUAAAUGUUCGUCAUUAAAGCUCACUUUACAGAUCAGGGCUUAGAACCAGACCUGUCAAUAUUCCCUUUACUCUCUGAUCUCACAGUUACUAGAUAGGAAAACACAUCAAAUGCAAUACAUUAAAGUCAGCCAUAUUCUGUCAAAACCAAACAGAGAAAAGCACAAAC